UACAGAGGGGGCGAGCGUUGUUCGGAAUUACUGGGCGUAAAGGGCGCGUAGGCGGCCAACUAAGUCGGACGUGAAAUCCCCUGGCUCAACCAGGGAACUGCGUCCGAUACUGAUUGGCUUGAAUCCGGGAGAGGGAUGUGGAAUUCCAGGUGUAGCGGUGAAAUGCGUAGAUAUCUGGAGGAACACCGGUGGCGAAGGCGGCAUCCUGGACCGGUAUUGACGCUGAGGCGCGAAAGCUAGGGUAGCAAACGGG
rnacentral:rRNA from 1 species